rnacentral:rRNA from 1 species
GGCCAGACUCCUACGGGAGGCAGCAGUGGGGGAUAUUGCACAAUGGGGGGAACCCUGAUGCAGCGACGCCGCGUGGGCGAGGGAGCGCCUCGGCGCGUAAAGCCCUUUCGGCGGGGGAGAACGAUGACGGUACCCGACGAAGAAGCACCGGCUAAAUACGUGCCAGCAGCCGCGGGAAUACGGAGGGUGCGAGCGUUAAUCGGAAUUACUGGGCGUAAAGCGCUCGUAGGCGGUAUGUCAAGUCAAGGGUGAAAUCCCCGCGCUCAACGUGGGAACUGCCUUUGAAACUGGCAAACUGGAGUGUGUGAGAGGAUAGUGGAAUUCCAGGUGUAGGAGUGAAAUCCGUAGAUAUCUGGAGGAACAUCAGUGGCGAAGGCGACUAUCUGGCACAUAACUGACGCUGAGGAGCGAAAGCGUGGGUAGCAAACAGGAUUAGAUACCCUAGUA